rnacentral:rRNA from 1 species
UACAGAGACUGCAAGCGUUAUUCGGAUUCACUGGGCGUAAAGGGUGCGCAGGCGGUUGGGUGUGUCCGAUGUGAAAUCCCGAGGCUUAACCUCGGAACUGCGUCUGAAACUACUCGACUAGAGUACUGGAGAGGGAAACGGGAUUCACGGUGUAGCAGUGAAAUGCGUAGAUAUCGUGAGGAACACCAGAGGCGAAGGCGGUUUCCUGGACAGUUACUGACGCUCAGGCACGAAAGCAUGGGGAGCAAAAGGG